GAUGAACGCUGGCGGCGUGCCUAAUACAUGCAAGUCGAGCGAACAGAUAAGGAGCUUGCUCCUUUGACGUUAGCGGCGGACGGGUGAGUAACACGUGGGUAACCUACCUAUAAGACUGGAAUAACUCCGGGAAACCGGGGCUAAUGCCGGAUAACAUUUAGAACCGCAUGGUUCUAAAGUGAAAGAUGGUUUUGCUAUCACUUAUAGAUGGACCCGCGCCGUAUUAGCUAGUUGGUAAGGUAACGGCUUACCAAGGCAACGAUACGUAGCCGACCUGAGAGGGUGAUCGGCCACACUGGAACUGAGACACGGUCCAGACUCCUACGGGAGGCAGCCGUAGGGAAUCUUCCGCAAUGGGCGAAAGCCUGACGGAGCAACGCCGCGUGAGUGAUGAAGGUCUUCGGAUCGUAAAACUCUGUUAUUAGGGAAGAACAAAUGUGUAAGUAACUGUGCACGUCUUGACGGUACCUAAUCAGAAAGCCACGGCUAACUACGUG
rnacentral:rRNA from 1 species